rnacentral:rRNA from 1 species
GCUCGUUUCAAAGGCUAAGCCAUGCAAGUGCUAGCACAAGCCUUCACGAAAAGGCGAAGCCGUGAACGGCUCAUUACAUCAGUUGCGAUACGAAUGCACGUGGGCACAGCGUGCCGCCACUUGGAUAACUGUGGCAAUUCUACAGCUAAUACAUGCAAAAAGCGCCGACUUCGGAAGGCGUGCACUUAUCAGCACGACUCGGCAUAAACUCUUGUCGAAACUGGAUAACGUUGAAGAUCGCGCGGCGUCAAGCCGGCGACAAUGCAUUUUGAACGUCUGACCUAUCAACUAUUGUCGGUAAGGUCUCGGCCUACCGAGGUGCUUACAGGUGACGGGGAAUCAGGGUUUGAUUCCGGAGAGGAAGCACGAGAAACGGCUGCCACGUCUAAGGACGGCAGCAGGCGCGCAAAUUACCCAUUAUCAGGAAUGAUGAGGUAGUGACGAAAAAUAACGAUGCGGGACUCCACGAGAGCAUCCGCAAUCGAAAUGAGCGCAGCUCAAACGAUUGUUGACACGAAUACUAUUGCAGCCCGCGGACAUUGGACGCGCGGCGAGCAUUGGAGUGCGGCGAGUAUCGAUUGGAGGGCAAGUCUGGUGCCAGCAGCCGCGGUAAUUCCAGCUCCAAAAGUGUAUGCUUACAUUGUUGCGGUUAAAAAGCUCGUAUUUGGAAACACAAAGAGCGACCCCGACGCGAGCCGUGCACCAGCGGUGUUGCGACGUCGGGGGAAAACGGCGUUUGGAGGGAUCUCGGCAAACGAAUCCAGACCGUCGUGGCAAUCGCGGCGGCUGCACUUGACUGUGUGGUCGCGUACCGAUUGACCGAAAGAAACAUUGAUGAAACCAAAACGUUCAUAUGAGAUUGACGUUUUGCUGUCCGCGUCGCGGCGAAAGCCCGACCGGGCACACAUUGAAUGACGUUGCAUUGAAUAGCAGAAGACGGCCGCGGCUCUGCCGCCGGCGUCGAGAGCAGCGCGUGGCAAUGAUCGAGAAGGACGAACGGGGGCAUUCGUACUGUGCCGGGAGAGGUGAAAUUCAGAGAUCCGUGCAGACGAACCGAAGCGAAGGCGUCUGCCAAGGACGUUUUCCUUAAUCAAGAGCGAAAGUCAGAGGAUUCAAGACGAUCAGAUACCGUCGUAAUUCUGACUGUAAACGAUGCCGACCGCGUCGACGUUCACAACGACUAUAAGAGGCUCGCCGAUGCGGGUCUACGAUGGCGGAGCGUCGGCGCCGGGAGGGAAACCGGAGUCUUCGGGUUCCGGGGGAAGUAUGGUUGCAAAGCUGAAACUUAAAGGAAUUGACGGAAGGGCACCACCAGGAGUGGAGCCUGCGGCUUAAUUUGACUCAACGCUGAAAAACUCACCUGGCCAAGACGUGACGAGGAUUGACAGAUUGAAAGCUCUUUCUCGAUUUUACGGAUGGUGGUGCAUGGCCGUUCUUAGUCCGUGGAGCGAUUCGUCUGGUCGAUUCCGAUAACGAACGAGACUCGCCUCUGCUAAUGAGAAGGCACGCCGCCUGCAAAGGGGCGCUGUCUUGCCGGCGAAGAUUGACGACGACAGGCUCGGACCCUACGGGUCGGGUCGAACGAAAUGAACGUGAAAAACGAAAAGUCUUCUUAGAGACAUGAGCGGCGGUAAGCCGCAAGAGAUCGAGCGAUAACAGGUCUGUGAUGCCCUUAGAUGUCUGGGGCCGCACGCGCGCUACAAUGGACGAGCCAGUCGGAAGAGCGAUGGCCGUUCGCGUGCGAACGGGUCGAAAACCCGGCUUGGUAAAGCCCGGGAAAACUGAAAAAUUCGGCCAUGAUCGGGACAGAUACUUGCAAUUGUUUCUCUCGAACGAGGAAUUCCGAGUAGGCGCGAGUCAUCAUCUCGCGUCGACUACGUCCCUGCCCUUUGUACACACCGCCCGUCGCUACUACCGAUUGAGCGUCCUAGUGAGGUCGCCGGAGCGAACGGGGCAGAAGCGGCCUCGCGGCCGUCGACGCCUCGAUCUCGAAGACGAUCGAACUCGGUUGCUUAGAGGAAGUAAAAGUCGUAACAAGGUUU